rnacentral:rRNA from 1 species
UACGUAGGGGGCAAGCGUUGUCCGGAUUUAUUGGGCGUAAAGAGCUCGUAGGCGGUUUGGCAAGUCGGGUGUGAAACCUCCAGGCUCAACCUGGAGUCGCCACCCGAUACUGCUAUGACUUGAGUCUGGUAGGGGAUCACGGAAUUCCUGGUGUAGCGGUGAAAUGCACAGAUAUCAGGAGGAACACCGGUGGCGAAGGCGGGUCUCUGGGCCGAUACUGACGCUGAGGAGCGAAAGCGUGGGGAGCGAACAGG